rnacentral:lncRNA from 1 species
UGCAUUCUGUUCCCUCUCUACUCUGAAGCCCCGUUAGGUCCCCCUUCUAGUUGGAGAGACUCACCCCCCCUUCGCUUGUAUCCCCCAUUCAGGUGACACCUGAUUUCCCUGCUUCCUAAGGGUACCACAGUGCUGCUUUUGUCUCAGGACGGGCUUUGUUUCCUGAUUGUAAGGAAUAGAGACUGAACAUUGUCCAGUUAGGUUCACAACACCAUCCCCCCCAAACCAUGAUACCAGCACAGGUAUCAUUUCAGAAGCCACACUCAGCUUGUAGGAAUUAUGGUGAUUGUUUUAGUUGUGGGG